rnacentral:miRNA from 1 species
CUUGCCUGUAGAAAGGAGCUACCCACUCCAGGUCUCCUCUCUGCUGAGAGCUGGACACUCACUGGGACGACCUGCCUGCAGAAAG